GGUAAAUAUUUCGUGAAUACUAAAUCGCAAUAAAAUAAACAAACAAGUUAUAAUUCAUAAUUUAAUUAAGCUUACUUAUUUUGGACGGUGAAAGCAAUCUGAAAUUAAUCAUCAGUGAAAUUUUUGUUUGCAACAACAAAAAUAGAGUGCAGCAGUAACAAAUGGAGUUGAACACUUUGACAAUUUUCAACAUAUUCCUGGUGACUCUGGCUCUGUUGGUGAAACCAGCAGUCGCAGCUGACGGAGGAGGAGCACUUGCAUUCGCCCUCAUUUUCGGACUGGGUACUCUACUCCUGAUUGGUCUAGCUGCCGUAGGCUACUUCGCCAGAAAAAAUAACAAAAUAUAGCCAUGCACACAUAAAUACAUGCAUUUAAAAGCAUUAAUUACCUGCUUCACAUCAAUUCAAUCUUCAAAUAACUUCAAAUUGUCACUUCUUAUUUCGUUUGGUGUCUUGUACGAAAAGUUAAUUUAAUUUGCCAGUUGAA